rnacentral:rRNA from 1 species
UACAGAGGGUGCAAGCGUUAAUCGGAAUUACUGGGCGUAAAGCGUGCGUAGGCGGUUCGUUAAGUCUGUUGUGAAAGCCCCGGGCUCAACCUGGGAAUGGCAAUGGAUACUGACGAGCUAAAGUGUGUCAGAGGAUGGUGGAAUUCCCGGUGUAGCGGUGAAAAUGCGUAGAGAUCGGGAGGAACAUCAGUGGCGAAGGCGGCCAUCUGGGACAACACUGACGCUGAGGCACGAAAGCGUGGGGAGCAAACAGG